UUCUGCAAUGACUUCAGCCAGCUCCUUCAGCACUUGCGGCUGAAGAUCAUCUGGUCCCGCUGACUUGUAUAUGUCUAAUUUGUCAAACCUCAGCUGAUUCAUGGGAAUUGCUGGAGUGCAUACACUUAACCACUAAAGAACUGUAAUGAACCAGGAGUACCAAUGUACUUAGAUGAAAGUGAUCUUUCAUCUAUUGAGAGAAGACGAAGCCACCACAUGGUUAUCAGACAUCUUGUUCGGCAGCUAUUUCAGAGCUCCCAUGUGGCAGUGGGAAGCCCUUGAAAGAGGUUGUGUGAGAGUGUGCAAGAGAAAAAGACUCCUGCAGCACUGCUGGAUCUUGGCGGAGUUCUCCCACAAAGCCACAACUCCUGCCACCAAGGGCUGGAUCUUUGUGUAAGUGCCCAGCUGGCCUGGACAUAUCUCAGUGCCAAAGGGGAAAGCUUAAUUAUGACUAGAAGCAAAGACACAGUUGAAGAAAUAAGCACAUGGGGGACACGGUCUGUUGGUGUCUUCAUAUGGCACAGACAGGCAAAGCCUGGAUUGCGCGACUGACUGCAAACAAAUUCUACUCGCUUUGUCAAGGAGAUGACUGGACCCCACUCGUCUGUCUUUGAGUCACUUCUCACACGUCCCAGUCUGAAUCUGAUCUCUUCUUGGGGACUCUGUCAGCUCCCCAGAAUUGCAGACUGCCUUUUUGCCCUUAGGUCAAUCAGAGGCUCUUCUGUGCUUUCACCUUCUUUUUGUACUCUACGUUUAAAACCAUAUUGCUCAAGUAUGUCGUUAUUAUGUGGCAUAUGAGACUUCUGACAUUUCUAAAAUAAAGUUUCAUAGUUUGCUUCUGCCUGAA